rnacentral:rRNA from 1 species
CUACGGGUCGCUGCAGUGGGGAAUAUUGGACAAUGGGCGCAAGCCUGAUCCAGCAAUGCCGCGUGAGUGAAGACGGCCUUAGGGUUGUAAAACUCUUUCGCUAGGGAAGAUAAUGACUGUACCUAGUAAAGAAGUCCCGGCUAACUCCGUGCCAGCAGCCGCGGUAAUACGGAGGGGACUAGCGUUGUUCGGAAUUACUGGGCGUAAAGAGUUCGUAGGCGGACUGACAAGUUAGAGGUGAAAUCCCAGGGCUCAACCCUGGAACUGCCUUUAAAACUGUCAGUCUAGAGACCGGAAGAGGUUAGGGGAAUACCUAGUGUAGAGGUGAAAUUCGUAGAUAUUAGGUGGAACACCAGUGGCGAAGGCGCCUAACUGGUCCGGUACUGACGCUGAGGUGCGAAAGCGUGGGGAGCAAACAGGAUUAGAUACCCCAGUAGUC